ACUUUCAGACAUGCUGCAAUUUCUGGAAAGUAAAGUUUGCCAAAGCUAUGGUGCAUAUGGGUUGUUGACAGGUUCUGAAGGUGAGAGUAGGGAGUGAUGCAACGUUGUCAAUUAAUUAAUUAAUUGCAGCAGCUUCUUGAUCUUCCGAAAAUUUGUUCAUAGAUGCAAAUAUAGUUUUCUUUUUUCAUCAAUUCUUUGAUAUUGUUAUUGCUUUUUCGGAUCCUAUCAAUCAGUGAUAGUCAAAUGAAACAAAAAGAGAAGGGUGUUAGUUUUAAAGCAAACAGAUUACAAAAGAGGAAUGUGGAGUUGUCAUGAUAAUAAUCCAUC
rnacentral:lncRNA from 1 species